UAAAACCGGGAACUAAACGCCAAGUAGGAAAACCCUGUAAACAAAUUCCUCAGUUUACAGUGUACUAUAGCGGAAGAUUCUUACCUCUAGCGAGGGUUUUCCACGCUUCCGCUCGCUUAACGACUCGUGCAGCCUGAAUACAGCACAAACCAAUGGCCGCAAUUACCACAACUCCAAACGACGGAAGCUAACCGGCUUAGCGCCUCUAUGCACAGCAGUGUUAUAGGAUCCCUAGUGAUCGAAGGCGGAAUCAAUAGCACGUGGUGGCGUGAGCCGAUAAUGCCACAAAAUGGUGCGUGAGCUGUUCAGCCAAAUCCCAAUAAGCCCUGGAACGGCCUCACUCGCCUCCCUCUUGGCUUCUACACAACAACAACUCACACGCAGCGGUUUUCGCUUUUUACUCCCCAACAAAAUGGGUUCCGGGUGCUCUUCACCACAGAAAUACAAGCGAACCGCCAGCAACACUAUCCACCACAACUGCUUGCUAAACGAUUACUGCCAAAAUGGCUAAACGAUUGCUCCGCGAGACUUCCUGCCGGAAGUACGUCGUAAAACCGAAAAUACUAUCCAUCCCACUCGCACACGCGAAGAAUCCACUUUAGUAUCUCUUCCUUUCGGAACACUACGGCCUUCCUCCAAACUAAAUAAGGCGCCAAAGAUACAUGCUGCCAAGUUUCGCAUUUGUAUGAGCUACGACUACACGAGACAAAUGAUGCUUGUGUGCUACGGAAAGGGUGGCAUGUAGCGCAAUGAUACCUGCGCUAAACGACUUACAUCGGAAGGAUCCACGGAGCACUUCACGAAAUCUAUGCAUUCCGGCAACACCGCCAAACACCUGUCAGGUGAUGGGAGGCGACGGACGUAAACAAUGCCGGCAAACCGAAUACUGUAAGAAAUACUGACUUCUAAGUCAAGAACCAGGGAGGUGUGUACAAAUAACAGCCAGCCUUGGAUACUGAUUUGAUCGCUCUCCUUUUAAGGAGCGACAACUAGAAUAGAGACAGGCAAUGCUACGGAGCCUCGAGUGCGAGGGAUGUCGCAGGAAUAUACCAGGACGAACGAAAGCAAUGGCUACAAUAACCGUUACAACUCUGAGCAGCCUCUAGCCAUCCAAGAAGUACUAAGGUCUCAACCUAAGGAAGUAUGCAAACAUGUCUACAUGCACUGGCGUGUAAUGUCGCGACAAGACCAGCGAAGGCGACGCAGGGGCAUUAUAUAUAGAGUUGGAAGAAGAUAAUCACCACUACACGAAAUUUCUCAAUACUACGUUAGAAAUAUCCUUUAAUGGCUUAUGUUAACUGUACCUAGUAACGUAUAAGUGCAAUAAGAUC